CCACCCGCCUCAGUCUCCCAGAGUGCUAGGAUUACAGGUGUGAGCCACCAUGCCUGGCCCUGAGGCUCUUAAAGUGACCUAGCAGAGGCCAUAUGGGCAGCUAGGAAGUUGCAGGGCUGGGAUUUGUACCUAAGCCUGUGAGAGAGACUCCAAGCUCCUCUCUUUCCACUUUGCCACCACAUGGGAAAACACACCCUCCACCCUUACCCUUACUGAACAUCUGUGCUGUGCAGACCACUUUGACAUCUGUCUCUCACUGUACUGUCCACAGGCCUUAGAGGGUCUGUGUGUUGAGAUUGGCUGAGCAGUCUGACCGGUAGCAAUGCCCUUCUCCACGGAGUCCAUAAAAAGUGCAUUCCGGGUUGGGUGGGGUGAUAGGUCAAGCUAAUCCAUCCUGGGAGAUGGGAAACUGGUUAGAAGGCUUUUAUCAUCCAGGCAAGAAGAGAUGGGGCCAGAGGGAAGGCGGUGGGAGCAGAGUGGACAGCGGUGGGCAGCUCCUGGAGAUGACAGGAUGAGUCACCAGCUAGCGUGUUCAGUAGGUGCUGGAGUUGUUCCUUAGAGGAUGUAUUCUGGGAAAACUUCUUGAAGGGGCUGGUGGGGUCUAAUCUGGCUUCCGAGGGAGAGACGGGUCAUUUCAGACUGUGGGGACAGGAAGGGUAAAGGUGUGGAGGUUGAAAGGCCCUGUAACCAGCUGUGGGGACCCGGGAAGAUGUGAUGAGGUCCCGCCUUCAAGGAGCUCUCUGUGUGUUUGGGACCAGAGGCCCGUGGUUGCUCAAGCGGCGUGACACCAACACCAGCUCGCCCGCGGAGCCGAGUGGACUUGAGUGUCCGCGCUCAGGAGAGGCUGCCCGGGAUGGACGGGGGAGGCAGAUGGGGAGGACCUGCCUGAGCAGGGAGCAUUGGUCAUUCGCGCGUGCAUCUGUCCAGACCCGCUGCGCUAAGCGCUGUGGCGCAGGAGAGCGGGGGAGAGAGGGAGGAGAAGGACAGAGGGACCCUGCGGGACACGCGGCUCCCCGAGGAGCGACUCCCCGAGGAGCGGCAGGUGGAAGGAACGCAGUGGUCAGGCUCUCCCGAGCUGCAAGAGCCGGAACUCUGCCCCAGACGGGCUCACUGGUCCUCAGACUGGUUGUCAGGACCUGGCUUCUCUGUGUGGCUCUCGGCCCUGCUUUCCCUGUUAGCCUCCCUCCAGCCACGGCCCGCCGAGGGCAGGACCAGCCCACCAGCCGGCAACCGCGGCAGCACAGGCUUUUCAACCCCACGACACCAGAAAAUUCUUACAGUUGGCUCUGAUUGGCUAGGCGUGAUCACAUGUUCAUCCCUGAACCAAUCACAGUGUAUUCCUGAGGCAUGGAAUACACUGGUUGGUCAGGCCUACGUCACGUGGUUACCUGCGGCUUUCGGGGGUGGGAUCCGACCACUCUCUCCUGAGGGUCCCCAAAAGCCGCCUGGUCGCUGUCCCGAAGUCCACUUGAGGAGCAGAGGCCACCCUCCGUGGGACGGGAGCGGAGGGAGCUGGGGCUGACGUGUCGAGGGUGGCAGGAGGUGGACCUGUGCCGAGGACUGGGCCCGAGGGAGGAGCGUCUUCGGGCCGGGAGUGCGGGCCUGCCCUCCCACGCCGGGCGCACCUAUGGCCUGCGUCCUCCCGGCUGGCCGGGCUCUUGCGCUCCAGGCGGGCUCGGGGCUUGCGUGCAGGCCGCGUGCGGCUGGGCGCCGGCUGGCUAGGAGGCAGACAGGCUGGUUCCGGAAAUGAAAGAAUCAGGUAAUGCCGUCUUGGGUCACUUCAAAGCCAGCUACAGCCAGGAACAGGAAUACUUUGCAAAGGGUAGAACUUCAUACAUGAGUGAUGCCAUCAACUUUAGUCUUAUCCCUUUCUAUCCUUGGAGCCUUCUGAACACCCUGUGAGUUGCGGUGAGGUGACUGUCCACCCCUCAUCUGUGCCACCAUUGCAGCUGGCAGCCUCGUGCUAGGACUAGCACCUCUCCCCGCUAGGGGAGUCGCUGUGAGUUUUGUGGACUGGCUGCCCCUCUCAAGGUGGCUGCUCCCUCAGCCCAAGGAUCCCCUCACCUCCUCGGCCUUCCGAGGCGAAGCUUGGCGCUGCACCACUCCCGGCGCUGGCCGCCGAGCCAUUAGCCUCGCUUCUCACUGGCUGCGCCUCAGCACAGUAAUCAUUUUCAGAUUUACAAGCAUUAAAUAUUUUAAUUUAAUGCCUUGGCUCUCUUGUAAUUCAUGCACUUAAUUAUAUGAUAAUUACUCAAAUGAAAGAGAUACAGCUGCUGCUGUAUCAAUUCUAAGGGAAGACCAGAUUUUUGAGUUGAACUGAUUUCGGGAGGUGCCCCUGCCCCUUACCUUCCCCCUCCCCCAUACCCUGCCCCUUUUCUUUGGGCCAUAUAGUCUAUAACGCCCCUCCUCCCUGAGCAGUGCUGGAUUGGGCUGGGCGUCUGGGCAUUCUGCAGCCAUCUGCCCCUGGAACAGGGUAUGGGUCCUGCCCGGCUAGGGGACCGGACUCCUGUGGCUGCUGCUCCAAGAACAGAGACAUCUAAUGGCCGUUGAGCAGGAUAGGAGGGCCGUUGGCCCUCCUUGGGUGGUAGAAGAGGAAGGAUCCUCUCGGGGAGCAGAGGAGGCUGUUUGGGGGCCCCUGUAGCAGGUGGUGAAGCCAGGAAGCCUGUUCCUCCUCUGGUGGUGGAUGCGGGUGUGGGGGGAGUUGAGUUGACGUUCCUCUGCGUAUCUCCACUGCAGGUGGAGCUAGAACAGGCCUCCUGGCAACAACCACCAUGGGGGUUCGCGAAGACAGAUUGGGGUGGGGGAGGGAUGGAACUUCGUGAUGGGAGCACCUUCCUCGUUCUGUCACUUUCCCCUGCCCCAGCUUUCUCCUCUCCUCACCCCUUCCCUCUCUCCAUCUCUCCUUACCUUUUUCUUUUCCUACUUUUCCCCCUUUUUUCUCAUUCCCAGUUGACAUCCUAAACUAUGUUUAAUGCCUGAAAGGUCCUGGCUGUUGUGCAAGGGCUGCGACUGUUACUAUUUGGCAGGUGUGUCAGCCCUCUCACUGCCCUCUUCCUGCCCGCCACUUUGGGGCUGAUGUUCUGAGUGGACCCAUAGUGACCCUGUGCAGCUGAUGGCACCAGCAGAUUUGAGAAUCAGGGGGUGUUGCCUUGGGCCAGGCCCUCCUUGGUUCUGGGGAUGGGUGACACUUAGGCGGGCCUCCGGCAGCCUGGGCCUGCUGCUUUGGGGAGAAAAGCCCCCGCCUCUCAUGAAGACUCAAAGAGAAGCAUCAGAGCCCCCCUGGGGCAAAGCCCUGCUUAGGUGGCCCGAGGUGCUCUGGCCUCAGCUUGUGGAGAAGCACUGUGGCUUCCCUUGGGGCAAGAAGUUGAGUUAGGAGGUUGAAAUUUCCAAGCCAAUAAUGUUUUGAGGCUUCUGAGUUUCCUGGUUUUUUGGGCAGGGAAGCUCUGGGUGCAAGGGAAGCCCUGGGCCACUCUGGGCCGGCUCGUUUCCAAGGCAAAAUGUGGGUGAGCUGGGCAGCUCGUCCCUGCCGAAGUGCACGUCUGCACUGAAAGGGGUUACAAACGGCUCGCCCCGUAUGCAGACAAUUUUCAGCUAGCUUACAGCAGCUGCGGCGCCGUGCUGCUAGAUUAAAAGCAGCAACCAGCCCCAGAAUGAAGUGUAUUAGAAUCCCUGCCGGGUCGAGCUGGGGAGAGGCCCACACAGCUGUCAUCUAGGCCAAGUUUCCAACCGAAACCUCAAGAACAGGAUGGAACUCUGAGAAAAGUUAGCUUUCUAAAUGAGGUGGCCGCUGUUAAUCAGGAGAGGGGGGAGAGGGACUAGUGGCAUGCCAGGGCUUUAGAGAUGAGGAGGAGGAGUUUGGUGGGGCGUCCCACACAGACCAGGAACUUGGUGCAGGACCCUGACUCGCAGCGCCCGGGAACAAAGAGGCUGCUGCAGGCGGGGACCCCACGGCUGGGCAUGCGCCCCCCUACAUCCUCCACCCCCCAUGCCUUGCUCCUGACAGCUGCCUUGGGAGAUGGGUGUUUCAAUGUCACUUCCAGAGGGUCCCAAGAGCUCAUUGCCACCACAUCACACCCAGGCCUCCUUGGCUAAAAUGGAGGGGUGGCUCUCGGAUUCAGGCAGCUGCACAGAUCUACCUUUGCCCAGGAAAAUUUUGCUGUCAGAGCAAACUGCCACCAGCCAGCCUUAGUUUUUUCCUGGCUGCAGCGUGGAGGCCUUUCUGUUUUGGCUUUGAGGUCUUUAAGGGAUGUCUGCUCCUCUUGUGAUGAGAAGGGCUCUUGGCAGGGGUCUGGCUCUUGCCCCCGAGUCUGACUCAAGGCUAGCAAGGAGAUACUUUUGUCACAGAUGCCGUUUGAGAGCCUAUCUAGAACACCCCCAUUAGAAAAAUCAGAAUGCCAAGGGAGAGAUCUGGAUAUAUUCUUUGUAAAAAUUUUUUUGCAUAUGUCCUUAUUUUUGCAUAAAGCAAAAUGCUUCCCACUGGAAGGGCCAGGUGAAACAAGAAAUAAAUAAAUCCAACUAAACUACCGUUAUAAAUAUAACUAGUACAGCAUCCGGCCAUAAUUCCACUGUAGUGGUAUAUCUUUAGUGAAUCCGUCCACUGGGCAGUUGGUCAUGUCCUCACUUGGACAGGCCAUCGGUCACGUGUGUGGGAGCUGUGUAGUAUGAAGCACACUUGGUUAUUGAGGAAACACAGCCCCGGGUGAAGAGUUUGCCGUUACCAUGCAUCAGCUGGGGCUGUCUUAUGUUGGAAGAGGCCUGGUUUGCAUAGCUGCUGGGCAUGCCCUCUGCCCGUCAGACGGUGAGAAGUGAGCUCGGCCCAUUGGCGGCUUGAUCAGGCCCACAGCAGAUGUGGAAUGGUGGUGUCUUUGCUGAUGUGCAGUCAGGUUUCAGGUGUUUUCUUGGAUUCCCGAGCUGGCCAUGGCAGUGGGUUGGGUGUGUUCCAGUGCUAGGCUCAGGUAGGUGGCAAGGCAAGGGUGCAGGCGGGUGCCAUUGGCCUGGUCCAGGGGUGUGUUUAGGAGAGGGGCAGACAGGUCUAGAGGCCAAGGACGCAGCUCUGGGAGGUAGACUGCCUUGCUUGAGUCCAGCUCUGUCCUUUGUUUACUACACGACCUUGGACAGCUGUUUAACCUCACUGUGCCCACUUUCUUCAUCUGUAAAGCGAGGGUGAUGAUAGCACCUCUCUCAGAGGGAUGUGAGGAAGAUUAAAUGAGACAACAUGUGUCUUAGUCCUUUUGUGCUGCUGUAAAAGAAAACCUGGGGCUGGAUAAUUUAUAAAGAAAAGAGGUUUAUUUGACUCACGGUUCUUUAGGCUAUGCAAGAAGCAUGCACUUGCAUCUGGGGAGGGCCACAGGCUGCCCCCACUCAUGGCAGAAGGGCAGCAGGCAUGUGCAGAGAGCACGUGGUGAGAGGAAAUAGCAUGUGAAAUACGUGGGUAUUGUAAGUACCCAUUGUAAGUACCUAAUGAAAGUUAGCAAUUUGAUCAAAUUCUUCAUUAGUCUAGAAUAGUUUGACAGUAAUCCUAAAGCCUCAAGUCAUCUAGUCUGACCCUAGAAUCCAUUCACAUGUCUUUUCCACAAAUGCUUACCUUUCCUUGAACGCCUCCCAUGGUGGGAAACUCACCCUAAGGGUGCCAUUACAGUCAAUCAUAGACAGCGUUUUUGGAUCUAGUUUCUAAAGUCUGUACUUUUUUGGUGGCUCUCACCUGACUUCUCUUCAGUGCAGAGUCCCAAGAACAGUCAGUAGCUGCCACCCAACAGGUGCUUCCCGGGCCAGGCACUACACUAAGCACUUUAUGUACAUUUUCUCAUUCAUCCUCCCAAGUCUUACGGGACAAGUGUGAUUUUUACCUCCAUUUUACAGAUGAGGAAACAGGGUCAGAGAGUUGACUUGUUUAAGGGUCACAGAGAUACAGGUGUGCUGGCUGAGACUGAGAUCCGUCUGAGGUCAUGACCCAUGUUCCUAAAUAUUACCCUUUCUAAGGAAGCUCAGAACCAAACAAACAAGUUUUUGGUCUUUUUCCUUGCUUUCCCCCUCCCAAUUCCAGUCAGCCCACUCUCCCAUCAUGGUUUCUUCCCAUUGAUGUUUUACUUGCGUGACUUGGGGAGAAUGUAUAAAGACAUCACCUUUAGCAAGAGGUUACAUAUCUAGUUUCUCACAGCACCAUUAAACUAGGAGGAUAAAUUCUGUCUGCAGGAGACAGAAACCGCUCACCAAUGUUGUAUAGUUUCCUAAAUUAAUAAAAGUAAUAAUCUGAUAAACUGGUUAUUGUAAUUUAUCCCCAUAAAGCAGAACACGUGCCUGAAUUGUCAUUUCGGCCUCAAACCCAGCAGAAAAUAGUCAGCAAUUACCAGAGGCUCAGUGAGCAGGGCUGCUGCAAUCCUGCGGUCUUCAAAUUAGGAAAAAUAAUGAAUGCAUCCAGACUCAUCCAUCUUCAGCAAGUGCUGCGUGGAUUAUAAAAUUUAUUGUCAAUAAAAUUAUUCAUUUGUGCCCUAUACUGCACUUAAUGCGCCUGAAGUGAGAAAUUAGAAGUGUGUUUAAUUCUGGAGCUGGAAGAAAAUACAAGUGCAGCGAAUUUGCAGUAAUAGGAGAAAGUUAAUGCCCGGCCAAAAAUGAAUCAAUUUAGCUUUUGCUUUUAUGUUUUGGAAAAGCAGGUUGGUUUUUCCUUUUUAUGAUAAAAGCAUAUAAAUUCACUUAGAUCCCUAGUUCUAGUACUGCUUUCAAAGAAUAUUUAAAGAGAAGUUAUGAAUUAGGAGGAACAUAUAAAUGUGAAUAGUGUGUGCAUGUAAUUUCUACAUAUAUACAUUUAUAUGUGUAUAUAUCUAUAUAUUCCUCUAUAUAUCUGUGGAUAUGCAUGCAGAGUGAUGUAGUAAACAUAGUAGUGGUAUAGUGAUAUAGUUGGUAAAUAUUUAACAAUUUGCUAUAUGAGAAGAAAAAAAGAAUUCUGACUUGUAGCAUUUGCCAAUUUCUGUGGUGUAAAUACUUCCACCAUGGCUGAUUUCAGGCUACUGGUAUGAUUUCACUGAACCUGGAGUUGGGAGGAGAAGCCCACGAUUGGCUCUCAGAAGUCAGUAUGAGCUGGCUCCAGCACACCACUGUUCUAUAUGUGCACAUGUAUAUGUGCAUGUAGACACAUUCAUGUUAUAUCCAUGGCUUAAGGAAAGACAGAAAGAAAAGAUAUAAUUGAUAAGCAUCAAUUUUAUCAUCAGUUUGAGCCUGAGCGUCAUCCCUGUGUUUUUGCCGAAUGGCAACCUCCUUUGGUGAAUUUGCAUGUGUAUUUUAUUCAAGUAAAGAGCAGCUUUCUCCCCCAGAAAUAAGGUGACUUUAUUUUCAUUAAAUUCCAUGUGUGAAGGAAAAAAGAACAGAAGAAAAGAGAAGGUAAAGAGGGAGGGAGCAGUCUGGGCUCGGCCCUGCGUCAGCAACGCCGGCCUGUCUUUGGCGGACUCGGUGGACACGCCUGGUUUUAUCCAGCCAUUGUUCUUUUUGCGCCGAGUUUGCACACCGGCGUGUCUGGGAAUUGCGCAGCUGGAGCACACAUGAAAGAGCUGCGUUCCACUCUCAUGGGUCCCUGGGCGGCCGGGACGGCCUCAAGGCCCCGCGGUGGAGCCGCGCGUUCGUGUUCCUUCCCAGCACUGCGCGCCCGCCGAGCCCGCCCAGUCGCAGACUUGACAGUGAGCCUUUUGAUUUUGCGGGGAAGCCUUCGUCACGCUGUGGGAGGGAGGGAAUAUAGCCCAAACUGGACUUCAUACUGUGGCAAGCUUGAAAUCCCAGCCCCACCGCAGAGCCGGCUGAUUGGAAUAGUUGGAAACUGUGUCCAGGAAUUCGGCUUCGAGAACUUGGCUCACAGCAACUUCUGCCUUUUUGAAAGAAAAAUUGUCAACUGGGAGAGCCACUUGAGGCCUGGCUCUAAUCUAUCCAUGCAGGAAAGAUUCAUGGAAACUACUGGCCAAGUUUCUCUUCCUGCGUACGUGUGGCUCCAGUGGCAGGGAGAAGCAGGCUUGCUGGCUCCGGGUGACAGCUGUCGUCACUGCCACACUCAUGGCAUUGUCACCGGCUUCCACGGUAUUGCUAUUUUGUUAAUCACCAACCUGCUGCUUGUGAGAUAGCAGAGUCAGAGGUGCAAACAAAGCCAUACAGAGCAUAUGCUCUGCUUGGUACCCUGGUCUCUGGCUUCUGGGACAGCAGGGCCAUUUUCUGGGUGUGUCUUUCACCCUGGCAAAGUCACCAUGAUGACAUUAGGUAGCCAAAGGCCAAAGAGAGGCUAACGUUGAAAUCAUGAAUGUACCCUUGGUAAAUCUGCAAGCAGUGGUGCUGUUUCUACCCCUCUUGGGAGGAUGUCCAUGGGCUUGCUUAACUGGGAUAUGCCUUGAUUUCACUCAUUUUUGUUUGAAAAUGUUAGUGAAUGAGGGUCCCUCCUGUGAAAUGCCCAUGAAAUUCAAGAUCUUGGUGCCAUUGCCCAGAGACGUCCUGGUGAUUCUAAUAUGACAGCGCACCACGGUUCAAAUGCACAAAACAAGAGGCUUGUUGACAAAGGUCAACAGAGCUGGGAGUCAUGAGUAGACCAUCCAUAGGAAAACACGUCAUCAUCAACUCUUUUUCCUUGGCAAGGAUGUUCAGUCCUAGCCUUUUCAGUGGGGGAAGAUGCAUGCUCUUGGGCAGAUACAAGUCAGUGCUGUUGAGCUAGGACUGGGUCCAGCCGCUCAUUCUGGAGCCGGGAGAGGCCUGGAGCAGUUUCUUUGGGAUUAGACUGAGCUGGGGAGGAUGUUCCCUGGGGCCUCCUGGAAAGAUUAGGGGACUCUCCAGCCACUGACCCAGGCCGCUGCUCGAGCCCACCAUACCUCAUUACCAGGGAAGGCUUUCUUCUCUUUUCCCUUUGUAUUUCCCAUGCUCCCCUCUGUCCCCUGACACUGCCCCUGCAGCCCCUCUCCAUUGCAACCUAGUUUUCUCAGGUGACCUGACACAGAGCGUGGCCAUUUAUGCUGAGCAGGGAAGAAAGCAGGAAGUAGAAAUAGCCCAUGGCUUGAGCCCUGGCUUUGUGUCUUUGUGUGGCAAGGCCACAGAUAAGUCAGUAGGCCUCUCUGGGCCUCAGUUUCCCUAUCUGUGAGAUAGAAUGCACUCCCCACCCCAAACAUGCACUUGCAUUUCAGAGUGAUGCUUAGGAGGUAUGGGGCCCAGGGGGUGAUGAGAAAGAGGAAGUGGCAGUUAGACUUCCAGAAUCAUACAGGGCAACUGAC